rnacentral:lncRNA from 1 species
UCUCAGGAGGGCCAGAGCAAGUUCUGAGCUGCUCUGUGGCCAGGGUGGGCUCAUUCAUCCCUGCAUUCCAACUCCCAGCCCUGUUCAGAAACAUCUAUUGAAUGAGCACAUGAAUGACAACAUGAAUGAAAUCACAGUAUAUUGUCCCAUUCCUGGGGUAUAUGAAAAACAGAGGGAAAGGAAUUCCAAGAUACUCCUUCACCGUUCCAGCCUGCCCUGUUCCACUCCAGGCCUCACGACUGCACUCGGCCCCGCCCCAGCCCUGCCCCCUCUCCGGCAGUUACUAGCAUAAAGAUGCAAAGUCCAGGCAAAACAACUCUCAGUUCUGAAGGAACAAUGAGAAACGGUGAUGAAAGGAAAUACAUGAGUUUGCGGAAAAUUACUGUUCUGUCUGUUUCAUCUGCCUAUUUUAGUCUUUCUCAGAACUCUG